ACGUGAUCACAAAAGCCAGCACAUAACCAGCAGUACAAGGAUUCGGCUAAAAAGAGAGAUUCAUAUGUAGAUUUCUGAAAUACGGGACAAGUUCUUCAGAUCAAAUGAUGCUUCUAGGCUUCUGAACGAGUUUCUGAGCACUUGGAGAAAAAUAGGAGGACUGGUCCUUCAGGAUAGAGCAAUCUUCUAGUGGCAAAAACAACGGUGAUAUUUACGCAAGAUAUUCGAGCUUUCUGGCAGGACUGUAUCAAUUUAGGUGUCGUGCAUGGAGUAGGACAAAAAGAAAAACUAGUUUUUGGCAUAG